GCGGACGGGUGAGUAACGCGUGGGUAACCUGCCUCAUACAGGGGGAUAACAGUUAGAAAUGACUGCUAAUACCGCAUAAGCACACAGUACCGCAUGGUACGGUGUGAAAAACUCCGGUGGUAUGAGAUGGACCCGCGUCUGAUUAGCUGGUUGGCGGGGUAACGGCCCACCAAGGCGACGAUCAGUAGCCGACCUGAGAGGGUGACCGGCCACAUUGGGACUGAGACACGGCCCAAACUCCUACGGGAGGCAGCAGUGGGGAAUAUUGCACAACGGGGGAAACCCUGAUGCAGCAACGCCGCGUGAGUGAAAAAGUAUUUCGGUAUGUAAAGCUCUAUCAGCAGGGAAGAAAGUGACGGUACCUGACUAAGAAGCCCCGGCUAACUACGUGCCAGCAGCCGCGGUAAUACGUAGGGGGCAAGCGUUAUCCGGAUUUACUGGGUGUAAAGGGAGCGUAGACGGCACAGCAAGUCUGAAGUGAAAUCCCCGGGCUCAACCCGGGAACUGCUUUGGAAACUGUUGGGCUGGAGUGCUGGAGAGGCAAGCGGAAUUCCUAGUGUAGCGGUGAAAUGCGUAGAUAUUGGGAGGAACACCAGUGGCGAAGGCGGCUUGCUGGACAGUAACUGACGUUGAGGCUCGAAAGCGUGGGGAGCAAACAGGAUUAGAUACCCUGGUAGUCCACGCCGUAAACGAUGCAUACUAGGUGUCGGGGAGCAAAGCUUUCCGGUGCCGCCGCAAACGCAGUAAGUAUGCCACCUG
rnacentral:rRNA from 1 species